CCAAAAAAAAACACGACUGCCUUACAUGCACAAGUUCAGUUCCUUCAGCAUAUUCUCCAAGAGUGGGAUGCUGUAAUUUACUGAGACCACUAGAUUGCUUCUCAGAGGCCUGAAUCUGGCUUUGCUGCUAUGAACCUGCCCUGCCUUGGUAAACAAGGCCAACUGUCCCCUACAGGAAGACCAAAACAGCCUGCGGUAAUGUGGCAAAACCAACUCUCAUCUGGUCCAGCGUCCACUCCAAGAGAAACAUGCUGAGAGCAACAACAGGCUCAAUGCUCCCCAGCUCUGGGCAGACAGGACUGUGGAGUGGCCUGGCAAUUGUCCCUUCUGACCUCUGAGGAGAAAAUCCCCAAAUGACCAUGGGCACAUGGGGUACAUGGAAUCAACAAAAUGAAAAGCCAACGUAUG